AACAUAGUAAUAUUACUUAUUCCACGCAGGCCAGUCACUUAAACUUAACUAUCACAAUGCUAACUGAUACAGCGCACCAAAUGAUCUCAAAUAACGCAACUUAAACCAACAUGCAACAACGACGUCAAGAUUCAAUUCAGCAUAUCCAACAUAACAAAUCAAUACACAUUACAAUUGAAUCGAUAUUUAACUAAUGAUUUUUCCACAACGCAAUGAGUUAGAGUACCACUACUCAAAACAUGUUUACUAAAUUCCAUACCUAAAAGUCCCAAGCUGCAAAGGCCCGAACCAAAGAUCUAUAUUAAGAGUUACCAUCUCUCAUAUUCACACCCUUGCAACUCUGUGUGACUCUCUCUGCCAAUCUUUCCUCCACCCUCACCCAAACGGCUCCUCACUCUCACAACAAGGCCAUUGACAGACUUCAGACCUUGAACUUACAACUUUGCUUGACGCUAAAGCCACACCCGUUUCGAUAAGUGGAACUCAAUAUCAUACAUUCUCAUUUUAUCAAAAACCAUUACUCACUUCAACCUCAGAUAACAUAUUAACAAACUUACCAUAAGUGAGAUGAUUAAAUUUAUAAGCACCACAAAAAGCUAUAUCAAUAAAGCUAAUCCAGCAAUGCUACCUAAUGCAUUACGUUAUCUACCUAUGCUUAUCAUGUUGGAAUCAAAGGGAGUACCAGUAAACCGCGUAGCUUGCAAGCUUGAACGGUAUAGGUGAAAUCUCAUCAGGAAUCAUAUUGAAAAGAUGCAUACAAGAAGCUCGCAAUGUUUCAAGACUAACACGCGAGCCAUUCAACCAGUAUAAAUGUGAACUGGCUGAUUGUUUACACUUCACUAUUUGACCGGAUCAAUCACACUUCACCAAGCUCAAGCUAUUCAAACACAUGACCCAAAGAUCUCACCCGUUCAAAAACAUCGAUAUAUAAAGCUAUAUAAAGAAUACAUAACUAGCUAUUAACAAUUCAACAAUACUAACUAGCAAUUAAUGCCUAUUUGGAUAAACAGUUAAAUUAAGUGCUUAUAUCAUAGAAGUGUUUUAGCUAUUAGCUAUUUUAUAAGAAAUGAUAAUACAAAUCAAACAGUUUCCACAUAAAUAUUAAAUUGUAUUCAAACAAACCUUAUCUUGCAAACUUUGAAAAAAGGUAUGAGUAACAAGCAUAGAAGGUUUAAGAAAAACCUCAGUCUCCGCGAACCACCGCGACGGCACACCAUUAACAACAACCGUAUCCGGUUCGCGCCUGGAACUCGAUUGACAUUCCGAAAGCAUAAACUCUUCCCAAUCUCUUCAUUCCCCAUCAAAUCAUCACACUCAGAACAUCAACCUCGAGCCUAAACCUAACCCUUGAAGAUUCAACUCAACGCCGUUCAAUUUUCAACAAGACCAUUCCUCCAUUCACAACGUCGUUUUCAUUCUUCUCACUCAAAACGACAGGUCCCAGAUGUGGAGUGUACCGUAAACGACGGGAUCUUCGCCGUUUACGCUUUUUGAGGUCUUUGUUGAAGCGUUUGAAAUGAAGAUCUUCUUCGGGAGAGGAAAGGGAAGAGAAUGAGAGUUUGAGAAAAUCGAGUAAGGCUCGUUGGUUUUCAUUCGUCGAUUUGGUUGUUAUGGAGGAUGAAAGUGUGGAAUGUGUUACGGUGAGUUGAGUUUGAUGCGUGGUAGGAGAGUGAGGUCUUUGUCUAUUUCUAGGUUUGCUUGGGGGAUUAGGUUAGAUUUUCUUGCUCCUCCAUUUUCAUCUUCAUGCUCAUUCACUCAGUCACUCGCUGACUAAACUGGUGUUAUUUCUUUCAGCCCUACUUUCUCUUACAUCGUUAAAAUUAAAAUCAGUUUAAACAGCGCUUUCUCAAAACGCUGACUAAGGUCUAUUAUUUAAAAGCGCUUCUAAAGCGCUGUCUACUAAGGGGUGCUUAGACAGCGCUUUCUAAAGCGCUGUCUAAGACCCCCUUAGACAAGCGCUUUCAUUAUUUUUUUAGAACAUUUUCCGUGUUUUAUUUUUAUUUUAACCUUAGACAGCGCUUUCUUUUAAAAGCGCUGUCUAAGAUGCGCUGUUAAAAAACCUUUUUGGCGUAGUGGUAUAUUUUAGAAGGUGAAUUGACAUCUCUACUAGGGAAAACCAACCCAAUUGUCGCACACUCUUUAUUCUUCAAAUAGAGCGCAAAUUCAUCUGACGUUUCUCUUGUUUUCUUUUUAAUUGGUAAUCAAAUAUUAUAUUUUAAUAAUACUGUUUUUGUAUAAAUUGAGGUGUGAUGAGAAUCAUUUUCUCACAUUUCUUCUUAUUUUCUUCAUUUGUUCUAACAUGAGUAGUAAAACGCAUGAACAUGUUUUUUAUUCGAGAAUUAAGUCUCUGAUGAAGAUGUAUUUUUGGAUUAAUUGGAGCUUCGAGCAAUUUGAGAGGAACUUGAUCCCUUGGUUAGACUGAGAGAUUAAUGAUGGUGAAAGAGUUAGAAGAAUUGACAUACUUGUUUCAUAAAUCUCUAUUGCAUAUGACAAUGACGUUAUCUAGCGUAUUGUUAGAACAAGAUUUUGGUUCUGCAAUAUAUCUAUAAGUUUUGAUGAUAACAAAGAAUGAAAUAAUUUGGUACCCUAAUAAAAUUCUCUAAGUGUGUAGGAUUCUAAGGUAAACUGAAUCUGAUGAAACAAUAUCUGACGUCAAACGAAGUCCAGAACAACAGAUCCAGAAAUGAAGAUGUCGUAUUUAACUCUAAAUAAGAUCGUGUUUGAAAGAAAUAUACACAGAUUCUGUCAUUAAAUCUCACAUAUAAAGACUCUGAAGACCGUAAAUCUAAAGACUCUGAAGAAUGAAGACUCUGAAGACAUUACAUAUAUAGACUCUAAAGACACUCCAUCUGAAGAUUAGUCAAGCUAACACUGAAGACUACCCUACAAACAACUAUCGGAAGAAUACAAGAUCUGCUCAAAGACUUUUUACUCCACUCACUCUGAUUCACGCCCAACAGAUCAUCUGACUCAUCAAAAUCAGAAACUUAAUCAAGAAGUAUUAUAAGUAUGGUAUGAAUCUUUAUAUGGACAGUAUUGACUACAUUCCAAGACUGCUAUGGAAAGGAUAAGAAAAUUAAUAUCAUUAAGUCCCAUUAUUGGCAAGAUAUCAUCAUCAAUAGUCUCUCCAACGGUAUCAUCUCCAAGAAAUAUAUAAAGGCCUCACUAUCAUCAUACCAAACAACAAAGCUAUCACACAAGAAUUCUACAAUACAUCUUCAACCAUAUACUAAAUACUUGUUAUUGUAUAAUUCAGUAAUCACACACGAGUUGUUGCUCAUAGUGUGAUCAUUGAUCACGUAUUUUUAGUUUUGCUCAUAUUGCUUAUCUAGAAGCACCAAACACACUCUUGUAGUUCUCAAUAGUUGUUGUAAUUCCUCAAGGGACUUGUGAAGUCUGUAGACUUGAGAGGGCUAAGAGGUUGUUGAACUCUUAUACGACUGUUGUAAUCUUUCUAUAUUAUUGGAUUAAGUCCUUAUUGAAGGCGAAAUCACCUUGUCCGGGUGGACUGGAGUAGCUUUGACUUUCAAGCGAACCAGGAUAAAUUUCUGUGUUGUUUUCUUUUACUUUGUGUGUGUGGUGUUGCAAAAGUUUUUAUUUUCAGUGAAAACAAUUCAAACCCCCUUUCUUGUUUUUCUCCAUCUUCAAUUGGUAUAAGAGCUUCGACUCUGUUAUUUAUUUUUGAAUCAAACACUUAACAAUGUAGAGAGAUCUAGCAUGAGGAAAACAUCAUAGCUAACACAAAAGAAAGAGAUAGCUACAACGUUAAACCUCCAGUCUUUGAUGGAGAAAAUUUUGAUUACUGGAAAGGCAGAAUUGAAAGUUUCUUCUUAGGCUACGAUGUUGAUCUAUGGGACAUUGUUACAAAUGGUUAUCAACUACCCAUCUCUUCCCUUAGUAUCGUUAUACCAAGAAGAAAAAUGAGUGAUGAUCAGAAGCGUGAUUUCAAGAAUCACCACAAAGCCAAAAUUAUUAUGUUAAAUGUUAUAUCUUACAAUGAGUACGAAAAGAUCACCAACAGGGAAACAACUAAAGAAAUCUUUGAUUCCUUGAAGAUGACUCACGAAGGCAAUAAUCAAGUCAAAGAUACUAAGGCUCUGCCCUUAAUCCAAAAAUAUGAAGCCUUCAGAAUGGAAGAUGAUGAAGUUGUUGAGGUAAUGUUUUCUAGAUUCCAAACUUUAGUUGCAGGUCUCAAGGUGCUGGCCAAAGGAUACACUACAUCAGAUAAUGUCAAGAAGAUAAUCAGAAGCCUUCCAAAGAAGUGGAGACCAAUGGUUACUACCUUGAAGUUAUCUAAGGAUCUGAACAACAUAAGCCUUGAAGAACUUAUUAGCUCCCUCAAGAGUCAUGAAAUAGAGAUAGAGGAAGGUGAACCUCAAAAGAAAAACAAAUCAGUAGAUCUAAAGUCUAUAUCAAAGAAAAGAAAGCCAGAAAGGAACACAACCUUUCAAGUUGGAGAAGAAAACGAUGAGGACUCUGACAAGGAAGAUUCUGAUGAUGAAGAGAAGUUAUCUCAUCUACCCAUAAGAAUCAAACAACUUUGGAGAAAAAGAAAUAACAACUUCAGAAGACCCAGACAGAAGGGAGAUCGUUCAGAGUCAACCUCCAGAGGCAUACCCAACAAAGAUGUGACCUGCUAUGAAUGCAAAGAACAUGGACACUACAAAAAUGAAUGUCCAAAGAUCAAGAAAGACAGCUCCAGAAAGGAAGGUUUCAAGAAAAGCUCCUUCAAAGCAAAGAAAUAAGGACUCAUGGUAACAUGGGAUGACUCUGAAUUUGAAGAGGAGCAAGCAAAUGUUGCGCUCAUGGCCACCACUUCUUAAAGUUCAUCUGAAAAGAAAUCUGACACUGAAGAGGUAUUAUCUUACUUUUCUCGUUCUGAUCUGGAAGCCUGUUUACCAAAAGCUUCGGCAGAAAUUCAAGAUCCUAAAAAGGGUUCAUGAAGAGACUGUUGAAGAGUGUGAUAAGCUUGAGAAAGAAGUUUCUGAACUUAAAGAAAACCACUUUAUUCUUGAAAAGGAAAAUUAAUUUUCAACUAAAAAAUGUUUAAAACUUGAAGAAACUCUUUCUAAAGCUCCACAUACUUCUGACACCAUCAUAUAUAAAUAUGAAAAAACUUUUCAGAAGUUUCUGAACAAUGGACUUGAAAGAAGAAAAAUGGAUUCUAUGAUUUAUGGUGUUAGUCACAAUAAGAAAAUAGGAAUUGGAUAUGACUCUGAUGAAUAUGAUUUAAAACCUUAUGCAGAAAACAAAUUGAAAUCUCAUUUUUCUUAUCAUUACACACAUGCACAAACACAUAAAUUCAAUAAUGCUAGAAAAUCCAAAGUUGUUAGAAACUCUAGGAGAACUAAUCAUUAAGGAUCCAAAAGAUUCUGGGUACCAAAAGAUAAAAUAGUAUAUGUUGCAGGUAUCUUAUGCAGCAGAGUUAAAACACCAAUCAUGAAGGAAGAAUCAGAGGAUCUAGAAUAGUUGGUAAUGGAUAUCUUCCCUCUAUCUCUGAUGUCCUUUAUGUUAAAGGAUUAAUGUAUAACUUUCUAUCCAUAAGUCAAUUAAGUGAUAAUGGUUAUGAUAUAAUCUUUAAUAAAAAAAACGUGCAAAGUUGUUAAUCAGAAAAAUGGCACAAUCCUUUUCACUGGCAAGAGGAAGAACAACAUUUAUAAAAUUAAGCUUUCAGAUUUAAAAGACCAAAAUAUAAAAUGUCUAAUGUCUAUAAAUGAAGAGCAAUGGAUGUGGCAUAGAUGCUUGGGUCACAUUAGCUUGAGGAGGAUUUCUCAGCUAAAUAAACUUGAGUUAGUCAGAGGCCUACCUAAGCUGAAGUUUUCUUCUGAUGCUCUUUGUGAAGCAUGUCAGAAAGGAAAAUUCUAUAAAAAAACCUUCAAAAAUAAAAAUAUUGUUUCUACCUCUAAGCCUCUGGAACUCUUACAAAUUGACCUUUAAGGACAUGCUUAGAUGUAACUUUUUGUUGAUUUUUAUAACUUUUGUCUGAGGCAAACAUUUAGUUUUGUAACUUUUUGUGAAUUUUUAGAUGUAAUGCCAUGACAUUUGAACACAAAAUGAAUUUAAUGUCUAUUUUUUUAAUUCAAUUUUUUAAACAUGAUAUAUGAAUGAAAUGAAAUGACAUGUUUGGAGAAAAUGAAUGUACGUAGAACACUUAAUAAUGAAUUAUGGAUAUAUGCAUGAGCCAUGAAUGACACUAAAAUCUUGCAAACAAACCUAUGAUCUCAAACUAAAAAAAAACUAAAUGGACUUAUGUAGAAAACAUAAAGAUAUGAAUCAUGUAAUGAGAUUCAAAAGAACAAAUGAGACCACUCAUGUUUAGACAUUGGAUGCAUGAUCUGACCAUGCAAAUGAUCAAAUGCAAAGUUAAAAUGUUGACUUUUCUCUGUUAUUGACUUAUGCAUGCUAAUGAGACCUCGUGACCAAAUGUAGUGGUCAUAAGAAAAUAAUGCAGUUGAAUAUGCAGAUGAAUAUAAAAUUUUUUUAGGGGGGGGGACAAAAUUUAGGUUAUGACAGUUGGUUGUUGGGCGUAUGAUGAUGAAGCUCGUAGGCAUGGGUCGAUCAAAUACCUCGGGUCAGACACAAACUGUGUUGUUGUAAUCGAUCUAUACCAAUUUAUAUAAUUUUGAGUUGAUCUAUAAUCUCUGGCAUGAUAGGUUCGUUUAUGGUCCGUUGAUGUCGAUGCUUCCGAAGUCAAUGUUGUUGACAAGGAAGAAGAAAAAGAUUAGAUAUUGGUUAAUUAUAUGGUGAACGGUGAGUCUGUAGACCAUGAGCAAGAGUCAUUACCUUCAAGCCAUGUGUAUUGUUCGCCUGAGCACGUGACAAACUUGAACUUUGGUGAAGACGAACCAUCCUCAGAUAUCCUUUACAAUCCUUAUAUGCAGACAGAGGGAGAGUUCAAAGUGGGAGAUAUAUUUCACACAAAAGAAUAUUGUGUAAGAGCUAUAAAAAGUUUCACAUGGAAAUUUCAGUUGAUUAUACCGUUGUUCGAACUAAUGUAAUGAGGUAUGUCAUUCUGUUUCGUAACGUGAUCUGUAUGUUUUGCCUGAAAGCAUCUUCCUGGAAGAGAAAUGAUUCUUGGGAGAUAGGUUAUAUGAAUCCACCUCACAGUUGAAUUAUCACCAAUCCAAUGCAGAAAAAUCGUAAACUAAGCUAUCAGAUAAUAUGCCAAGAAAUAUUGCCUCUCAUUAGCAAGAAUUCGUCAUUGAAGGUGAGUACAAUAAUCUCCCAUAUCGUUACACGACAUAAUAUACUCCUUCAUACAGGAAGUCAUGUAUAGUGAGAAAUAAGGUUGUUGAAUGAGUAUAUAGAAAUAAGGAGGAUUCAUACAAAGAACUUCCACAAUAAUUUGGUGGCACUUAAGCAUUAUGCUCCAAGAACUGUUGCAAUUUUGGAGACACUGUCGACAUUUACCCCAGACAGAACUUGUGUUAGUGAAAAUAGAAUAUUCCAUCAACUCUUCUGGACGUAUGACCAUGCAUUAAAGGUUUUUCGUUUUGAAAACCUAUUAUUCAAAUUGAUGGAACAUGGUUAAUAUUUUUCUGAUUGUAUUAGCUCUGAUUGAAGGGUUUACUGGUGGAUCGAGUUUCUUUCUUAAGAAUCUCCAAUUUAAAUGUUGCUCCACAACCCAACCUAUUACAUCCAUCUAUUGAGAGUUCAUACAAUAACCUUAAUAAUGGUUGGCAAGAUCCUCUUUUUACGUGUGUCUACUGGAUUAGACAUACCACACCAAAUUUCAUGCGGGAGAUCAAAGACAAGACGCUUCGGGAAAAAGUUGUGAAUGUAUGGUAUACAUUAACAGAAUCAUCGUUCCAACACUACCACGAAGAGGUCAAAUUGACAAAUGCAUAUGCGUUAAGAUGGAUCGAUAAUAUUCUAGUGAAGAAGUGGACUAGUAUAUUCGAUAAUGGUCAACGAUGAGGCCACAUGACAACAAAUCUUGUUGAAUCAUGAACUCUGUCUUCAAAGGCAUCAGAAACCUAUCGAUAACCACUUUGGUGAGAGUAACCUAUUUUAGGUUAGGUUCACUGUCCGAGACCAAAUGUUCAAAAUGGAAUUUAGUGUUGCAAUUGGGGCAACUGUUUAAUGAAAGUUGUACGAAAUUUAUUAAGGAGAAAACUUACAAAACUAACACACAUGUGAUUACAAUGUUUGAACGCUGUAAAGAUUGGUUCAAUGUAUAAGAGAUAAUGGACCAUUUCGAACAUUUUAUCUCCAUAUGUAGUACAUGUUGUCAGCCCGGACACAAUGGUAAAAAAUAUCUCAAUAUUGGAGAAAGCUCUAGAACAUAAUUAUUGUCUCUAUUUUUUAUAUGCUUUUAAUAUAUGAUUUAUUUUAUGGAACCAUUUAAUUUUAUACUGAAUACAACAUUCAUUUUAUAUUGAUUACAAAUUUCUGUUACAACAAAACGAACACAAGCAUACAUUAAACAACAACACGAAAAACAAAUAAAAUGACUAAACACAACAACAUAUCUAGGAGAUUACAACCAUUAUGACAAUAUCAUCUAAACUAUGCAUCAUAACACGACAAUCACGGUAAGUUUUAACUGACUUCAAGACACGAUGUUCUCCAUCAUUGUUGAACAUGUAAGAAGCCUUUUGAUUCUUCUAAUCUUUUCACUGUCUUCAAUGUCUUCGUCUAACCAACGAAUCAAACUCCUCUCAAGAUGCUCGAAAGUCUCCGUAUUUCAAAGUUUGAUCUUUAUCGGAGACUUUCCUGACGAAUAAAACAGAUUCAUAUAACUUUCCUGGUGAAUAAAACGGAUUCAUAUUUCUUUUAAUAUUACAGGACAUUUUAAAGAAAAAGACAUUUUAAAGAAAAAAUGAUGUAUUGUAUAGAGUAUAUGCUUCAAAAGCUUGGAAUGGAGGCUGAAAAAGUUCCUGAGUUGUCCAAUUCAUUAUACAAGACUUAUGGGACAAUAAUGGUUGGUCUUAGGGUACUAUUUUGUUAUAUCUCAACCUUUUAAUGAAGUGUAGGAAAAGGAAAACACUUUUUUUAAUGAACUUGUUUCUUGUCUUCUUGUCAGGCAAUUGGUUAUGACUUUGACUAUAAUGACUUUCAUAGGUAAUUUUUCAUUGAAUUUUUCUGCCCUUUUUAUUUUUUAUAUUGGUAUGAGAGUAAUUAGCAUAUUGAUAUAAUGUUUUGUGUGUUGAAUAGUUCUAUUCAUGGAAGAUUGCCUUAUAGUCUAUUGAAACCGGACCCCGUUCUCAAAGGAAUUUUGCAAAGCUUGCCUUGUAGGAAAGUGGUAAGUUUCUUUCAUGUUUCUUGACAAUGAAAGUUUGGAGCAAGUCUCUAUUUGUUGUGUUUUCUCUUUUGCAGGGUUUUACGAAUGCGGACAUGGGAUAUGCGAUAAGAGUGCUUAAAAGACUUGGGCUGGAGGGCUGUUUUGAAAGAAUUAUUGGACGAUAUCAGACCUCCUGAUGACAAAAACGGCGAAGAAAUUUUUGAUUUCUGCGAGUAUACACGCCAGCCUGAUUCUGAUAUGGUGCUUCCCAAGACACCGGUUAUCUGCAAACCCUUUGAUAAUGCAUUUGAAAAGGCUUUCAAGUUGGCUGACAUUGACCCUCAAAGAACAGUAAGAGGAAUAUUUCUUCCUUAAUACACAUUGAGAAACACUUGCAUUGUUCUUAUUCUUUAGACAUGUUAUUGUGACAAACAAUAUUUAUUUUCUUUCUAUUGUUGCUCUCUUCAGUUGUUUUCGAUGACAGCAUUGAAACCGCGUAAUGAGCAGUGGCCUCCAUACGUUGCCGGUACGAUAGUUUCCAGCCCAGUACUUAUUGACAACUGAAUAGUUGCAUUUGUUGAGCACUCAAUUUAAAAGUAUUAUAAUUAGUGUUCCACUUUAGAGUUUUCCACAUACAUGGUUUGUAUUUGAUUUGUUAUCCACUUUUGAACAUCAAUUAUUUUCCAAAGGAAUGAUAUAUUGAAAGAAACAGAUUUAUUUGGAGGAUGAUCAAAUGACUCUGUGCUUCUAUAAAUAGGUUACAAUUGAAACGACAGUAAAAGCUUAUUUUGUAUGAUUGAUCUUGUAUUUCGCUUAACCCCUUUGCAUCUAUAUCUAUGAAGUGAAGUGUGAAUUAAAACACAGAUCUAUAGUGUCAAUUAUCUUAUGUUCUUCAAUUUUUGGUUUUUUCUUAAUGCAACGUAGAAUAGAAUGGAGGCAAUGUAAUAAAAAUAACAUAGUAAAUCAAACAAGACUGGCAAUAGGAAAUAACUAUAAUCAUAUCUAACAACGAAUAAAGCAAUGGAUAUUGAAGAGUAACUUCUAAAAGUUUAUGUAAAUUAAACUGUUCUAUCAAUAUCUGAAGAACAAUCCAACAGGGAUCAACCUAUUAAUGAAUACUUCUUUCCUGUGAAAGCUUGAAAUUCUUUGGUUUUUGUCUUCUUCUUAGGUGACUCUUGACUUUCAUUUUUUAGAGAAACAUUAGCUGCAUUUCCUUUUGACCCAAAAACAA
rnacentral:lncRNA from 1 species